CCUUAGCGGGCUCUAGGUUUUAUUGCUUUUGUGUCUUGUCUAGUUCCAGACAUCCAAUCUGUACUGGCAAAGCUGCCUGAUGAGGAGAGGCCACCAACAUCGCUGCCCUGACUGCUUACAUACCUGCCAUGAAUAAUAGACUUGUCAGCUAGUUAAUCACUGCAUUGUAACUGUCUCUGUUCCUUCUUAGCUGAUCACUUCCCAGAGGAGUUUAAGUUCCAUUGUAACAGGAAACUUCUAUUAUGUUUCCAUACCUGCAUUUAUUUGUAUGCAAAAGCAUUCAUUCUUCUUUUUUCAUAUGACAGUAAAUAAGACAUGCCCCACUUUUUUGACAGUUCUUAAAUUACGUAAUAAACAAUGUAUUCUUUUUUCCUUUGUUUAUCCUGUUCUUCAGCCUCUCAUCAAUUUACUUCUGCAUAUGAGCCAAUUACAUUUUAUUCAUUAGUUAUAAGAUUUGGAAAUACUAACACCUACCUCACAAUCCACAGUUCUGUAAGUUUUUGGUUGAGAUUAUAGUUAUUUGGGGUAAGUAUUGUAAGAGAUCGUCAUAAUUUCCUCAAAAUGUCUAUGAACAAAGGAGAUAGACUGAGGCCCAAAAUAGUCUCUCAAAGGCCUUUGCUUAGUGUUUUGUUCUUUGAUCCUAGAAAUGAGGACAACUGAUUCAACCUUACACAGUUAGGCUCUUUAGUUUCAGGGAGUUAUGAGAUUUUAAACUUGAUGCUUGAAUUAACACUGACAAUAAUCGGCUGAUAAUCUUUGAAGAAUCUUAACCUUACAGAAAAUUAGUGUUAGACUAUCUCUUAUCCAACAGAAAAAAAAAUAAAUAUAAAUUUAUUUUUUAAAGGGCUUAAAAUAUAUACAUUUCCUGUUUUGGUACCUAUAAUUAGACUAUGUCUUCUCUCUAAAUGACUUUUUAGCACCUUUGGAAACUGCAUUCUCUUCUUUAAGCCUAUAGUUAUUUCAUUCUGCAACUGCAAGUAAUUGAGGGCUUACUUGUUUGAAAAUAUUAAUGCAGCUUCCAAAGUUGCUUAAUGCAUAACUAAGUACUGGUAGAAUGUUCAGUUCUUUUAAAUGGAUUCAUUUGCUAUAUGUUUCCUUUGGAAGUUUCUGUUUAUAAUUGAUUAAACUAUGCUCAUGAAACACACUGAUAAAUAGAGCAAUCUAAAGAUACCAAGAAAAGCCAUGAACAUUGUCCAAGAUAUGUAGGGAAUUUGUAUUUCUUGACUAAAUGCUACAUCCAUUCUUCCUCCUUAUCAACCAUUCCUCCAAAUAUCCAGGUUGCUUUUUUGUAUCCUUUAGUGAUGACAAGAUGUUUUUCAUUCCUCUAAUGAAGUGGGAAGCAGAUUAACAUUUUUUCUUCUCAGGAAUUAGAUUACUUAUUGUAGUACUGCUCAAUAUAUCUUUGUAAUACUCACCGACCCCUACCCACAACUAAUUAGUGACUUUCAGAAUUAGGGAAAAUCUAAGUUGUGUGGUGGCUCUAUAUUUAUCAGUGAUCAAGGAAGUGUUACUAAUACACUUGUUGGUGUUAAAAAAGAAUUAAGUAAAUAAAGGGCCAGAUGAUCUCAUUUGUACGAGUAACAUUUGAGUGCAUGUGUUUCCCUGUGCAUCAAAAGCCAACAGUGUUUACAUGUAUCAGAAAAAUCUCUUGGAACAGAAUAUAGUGGCAUCAAAGUAAGUUACCAUGUAAGCACUUUUUUUUUUCUGGUUCAGAAAAGAAUUCUUCUUUGUUCUCUCAGACAAAUCUAUGUUUUUAUUAUUAUAACUCAACUAUUACACUUUAUUAUAAUUGUAUAUCUGUCUCUUCCAAUAGACUCUAUGGCUCAUGAUAUGAGAAACCUUGUUAUGUAGUGUUUGCUAUAUUGCUUGGCCAGAUGAGGAUCUAGUAAAUAUUCUUUUUUUUUAAUAUAAACAUACUCUUUAUUGUAAAUUCCACAAAGCCUUUUGAUUCUCAUAGAAUAUUUUAAUUGACUUUUUAAAAAUUAUUUUAUCUGUAGAGAAUCUUAUUGUUGCAACUGAUAGAUAAAGGCAAUUCCAUCAUGAAUACUGGUUGACAUUUUCUUUGCAUUAAAGAGAAAGAUGAAAGUAAAAAAAUGGGGAUGUAUGGCAGAAAUACAUUCUUUUAUCAAGGACAUGAGAAACGUCAUUGUUGAACCAGAUAAUAAUUUUGAAUAGUUUCAAAAAUAUAUUUCUUCAACUAUUUGUACUUACUGAUGUGACAACUAUAGAAUGAUACACAUAAAUUUAAAGUUUAUUAUUACCAUUUUCUCUGUUACUUAAAAAAAGUCUAGACAAUCAACAAGGACAUCUAUAUCUUUAGUACAGAGUGGUGGUAGUGUAUGUAUAAAGGUUAGAGUAUCUGCCUUCCCAAAUUUGAGAUCACCAUUUUGGGAUGAAUCACCCAGAAUAGAAAGCUAGUUAUAUAACAUAUAUCCUGGAUCUUCUAAAGGAUUGAGAAGAAGAUACACAAUGGUCAGUGCUUUGAAAUUUGCUCUUGCCAUAUUCUAUUCUUUGCUUGGACAAAUGGAUUUACUAAGUUGUAGCCCAAACAUGCCUGACUUGAAUUAAAAGGACUAGAAUUCCUGGGAGUUCCUGUUGUGGCCCAGUAGAAAUGAAUCUGGCUAGUAUCCAUGAGGAUAGGGAUUCAAUCCAUGGCCUCAUUCAGUUGGUUGUAGGUACGGCAUUGCCGUGAGCUGUGGUGUAGGUCCCAGACAUGGCUUGGAUCCCAUGUUGCUGUGGCUGUGGUGUAGCCUGGCAGCUGAAGCUCUGAUUUGACCCCUAGCCCGGGAACUUCAAUGAGGAUCUAGUAAAUAUUCUCUUAAGGUUUUGUUGUAAUAAGAGCAUUAUAGCAGUAGGCAUAAUAAGAUUAAUUUAAACUGAUGAAAUUAAGAAAGCAAAUUUCCUUCCUUUCCUAUGAGCUAAUUGUCUUUACAUUAUAGAAACAGCUAGACUACCCACUCUAGUUUCCAUCACUCUAAUUUUUUGUCUAUUUUAUUUUAUCUUAUAGCUAUGUACUUUUGGAAGCUCUUUUAAAUCUUUUUGGUUUCUGGAAAAGAUACAUAAAUCAGUGAAUUACUGGGUAGGUAAAUUGACUAAGUAGAGUCAAUGUUUCUUAAUUCUGGUGUGGAUUAAGAAAUUUGGUCUAUAAUGGAGGAAUUAUCUUUAAUGGCCUGCCUUCUUAAUAGAGGAUUGCUUCUAGAUUAAAUGCAGCAGGCAAAAUUAUUUCAGAUUAUAUCUUAAAGGGUGGGUGACCCUGGGAUGAAGAUACAUGAAGCAAUCUUUGCUUACUAGGUAAGUCAUUUAGAAAACAAUUUUGUAAAUUUAGCUUAUAAUAUAUGAUAUUGGUCUUCUCUAUAAGUAUUUUCAAAUCUCAGAUUGAAAAAUCAUGGGAAUUUAUAGUAUUUUUCAAAUUAUAAAAAUUAUUUCUUUAAAGAUUGUUUAUUAAUAGGCCAGAGUUUGAGUUUAUCUGUGAAUUUGGUAGUAGUAGUAGUAGUGACGAACGAGCAGGUGAUGGAAACAUAUAUUUUUCCCUUCCUCUCUUUGGAUAUGUGUGUGGAAUAUUUUUGUCUUCCAAUCAGAUUGUUCAUUAUGCUCCCUUUGGAAGUGUGUAUUGUUUGGCCUUCCAGCCUUACAUGCUCAUUCAAAGGCAUUCCAAGUCAUUAUGCUGGACUUCAGCCUUGUUCAGUAAAAAGGCCAUUUCCUCCAUCAGCUGUCCACUUGGACAUACAUUCUUUUUACUCUCAAAAAGACUUUAUGUGCAUUCAGAGAAUAUUAGAUGGAUUUGUCAAAUUCCUCACAGAUAAUCAGUUUUUUAAAGUUAUAAUUUGAGCUAUGACCUCUCAAACUGUGAAUUAUAAGGUUUGACAUUUUGGUUCACUGUUUGACACAUCAGCCAUUAAUUAUAGUUUUUAAAGGACAUUUUAUUUCGGUUAGAAUUUAUGUUAUGAAAAUAGUUUAAGUAUUUUUCCUUUAACUUUCAGGAAUAAAUGUACAUAUGUAAUAUGUACAUUCAGGUAUAGCAAAUAGCUAGCUUGCGUAUGCAUCCUAUAUUCAAAUAUAUUUAUACAUGUUUGUCUAUUAUGCCUGUUAUACAUAUCCAUAGAGAUUUUUAUAUAAUAACCUAUGAAUUAACACUAAGAUCAUACUUCAGUAACUCUGGUGUCAGAAUGAGACUGACUUUUAAAAUAAUGUUUAUCGGGGUGAAAAGAACUUUAUUAUUAUUUGAAUCUAGGUUUUAUUCCCUUUUUUCAUUGAACAGGGAUAUAGAAGUAGGUGCCUAUGAAUGCCCUGUCUGACAGUAAUUUGAAAGUCUUUAAGAGGGAACAAAGAAAAUGAUGAGGGAGAAUAUAAACUGGUCAAGUGGUGUUUGCAUACUCAAGUUUCUGAGAUGGAGUGUACAUAGCAGAGAGGUCACUUUGAGUAAGGGGAGAAAAACAUCCAGAUGUGUGAACACUUUGCUGAUAUCCUUAGUAUUUGAAAUGGGGGAAUUUAGUGACUUUGUAUUGAAUAAAAAGAAGAUAUACAUAUAUCUGAAAAUAGUUCAGCAUACAGUUUUCUGUUGCUAUUUAAUAAAAAUCUAAUAAUAUUUUAGAUGAUUUCUUCACUUCUAAGGCAGUUUUUCUCAUUUUGUAAUAAAUCAUGUUCUUUGUUGCUAAGUUCAUAAAAUUAAAUCUAAAAUAUUAUGGAGAGAUAAUUAUUUAAAAACAUCUGAAUAUUUUUCUUAAAGAUAUAUAACCAUCCUUUUCUAUUUCAAAUAUUUUAGAAAUGGUUAAUUUGGUUUUGUACAAAUUCUUCUCUUGGCUAAAGUUAGCAUGUUUUUCACAUGAAAAGUUAAUAAUUUAGAUGACAACAUUGAAAAUAAAGACCUCUUAAGGAAAGUGACCCAUGUAGGUUCCAUAGUACUUGCUCCUAAAAUUUUUUAAUACAUAUAUAUUUCCUUUGUGUUUGAGUGUACUAUUUUAAGAUUUAAAAAAAAAAAAAAGAAAGAAAGAAAGAAAGAAAGA
rnacentral:lncRNA from 1 species